rnacentral:rRNA from 2 species
CGAAUUGUAGUUGAUAGAAACGUUUUCGGGGGUAGGCUGGGCACAAGUUGCCUGGAAAGGCACAUCAUAGAGGGUGAGAAUCCCGUCUGUGGUCCAGCUCUGCUCCUAUGUGAUACGUUUUCUAAGAGUCGGGUUGUUUGGGAUUGCAGCCCUAAAUGGGUGGUAAAUACCAUCUAAAGCUAAAUACUAGCGAGAGACCGAUAGCGAACAAGUACCGUGAGGGAAAGAUGAAAAGAACUUUGAAAAGAGAGUUAAACAGUACGUGAAAUUGUCAGAAGGGAACGGCUUGAAACCAGUCUUGCGUCUGGAAUUCAGCCUCUCUAACGAGGGGUGCAAUUCGCUAGAUGCAGGUCAGCGUCAGUUUGAGGAGGGGGAAAAAGACUAGAGAAGGUAGCCUUCGGGUGUUAUAGCUCUUGUUUCUACCCCUCUUUGGACUGAGGGCCGCGGCGUGAUACGGGGUUGAUGGGUUCCGGUGACCUACUGGUAAACUGCAUGCAGAUUGCUGGCAAGGCUCGCUUGAUUCCCUUCAGCUCCACACGUCUAGGAUGCUGACGAAAUGGUCUCAAACCACCCGUCUUGAAACACGGACCAAGGAGUCUAACGUAUAUGCGAGUGUAUGGGUG